GCCCAGGGUAGAAGAAAGAAGAAAAACGACGGGUCAUUCACGAGCCGAGCACAUAGGAAGCGGACAGAAAGCAAACACGAAAAGGUUUCUUUUUGAAGACAAAGGAAAUGGCCGCUGAGAUGCCGCUGAGAUGCCGACUGAUACCAGAAACAUCGAUACUUUGGCAGGGAUGUAACGGCAGGCAGAUCACUCGGUAAUAACACGCCAGCAACCAACUAUUGCCCGUGAUGUGGACAGUGAGGUGGUGAUGUAGCGGCUUCAGCGGCGAUUCAGACCAUGAAGUGGAAUGCUUCCAUCGGGAUGAAUGUCCUGCGAAGAACUGUAUUCGUUGCCCGGAAACUGUUUGGACGAAUGGAACAACGUACAGAUUAAUGGA